GAUGAACGCUGGCGGCGCGCCUAACACAUGCAAGUCGAACGAUUAAAGCACCUUCGGGUGUGUAUAAAGUGGCGAACGGCUGAGUAACACGUGGGCAACCUGCCCCUCUCAUUGGGAUAGCCACGGAAAACCGUGGAUAAUACCGAAUACUUCGGCACUUCCGCAUGGAAGACUCGAGAAAGCUCCGGCGGAGAGGGAUGGGCCCGCGGCCUGUUAGCUUGUUGGUGGGGUAAUGGCCUACCAAGGCAAUGAUGGGUAGCUGGGUUGAGAGACCGACCAGCCAGAUUGGGACUGAGACACGGCCCAGACUCCUAUGGGAGGCAGCAGUGGGGAAUCUUGCACAAUGGGCGAAAGCCUGAUGCAGCGACGCCGCGUGCGGGAUGAAGGCCUUCGGGUUGUAAACCGCUUUCAGCAGGGACGAGGCGAAAGUGACGGUACCUGCAGAAGAAGCCCCGGCUAACUACGUG
rnacentral:rRNA from 1 species